UAAAUGACGAAGAACAGAAGAGUAAGUUUGAACCUUGUUCAGAAAGUGAUCGCUGCUGAGAUGGUCACCAAGGUAUUAACUGAAGCACAUCUGUGAGUCGUCUAGCUGAAUGUUCAGGAGAACUGUAAGUUAGACCGGCGUGGGCCGUUAUCCCAAGGAGUUAAUUAAUAACUCGCCGAGUCAAUCACUGUGAGGUGGUUGAAUGCUUGAGGUGGUACCGCGUCAACACGCCCUCUUUGAUUUUUUAAUCAAAGAGGGCGUGUUUUUUUAUUAAUUAACUCCGUGAGUUUGCCGUUGUGAAGCGGCAAUAAAAAGGGGUGGCACCGCGUUGACCAACGUCCUCUAG
rnacentral:ncRNA from 1 species